GGCAGUGGUGGCUUCGGGGUUAAGGCUCUGGUUUCCUGAACCGAAGGUCGGGGGUUCAAGUCCCAGUACUGUCA